rnacentral:snRNA from 1 species
UGAAGCAACUGCUGAGCA